rnacentral:rRNA from 1 species
GAUGAACGCUGACAGAAUGCUUAACACAUGCAAGUCGUUGGCGAAGCUGCGCUUGCGCAGUCUAGCCAAGGCGGACGGGUGAGUAACGCGUCAGGAACUUGACCUGCAGACAGGGAUAACAGACGGAAACGACUGAUAACACCUGGUAGUGUCAGGCUGGCGCAUGCCGGCCUGAUGAAAGGAGCCGCUGCAGGAGGGCCUUGCGUCCUAUUAGCUAGUUGGUGGGGUAACGGCCCACCAAGGCGAUGAUAGGUAGCCGGCCUGAGAGGGUGAACGGCCACAAGGGGACUGAGAUACGGCCCUUACUCCUACGGGAGGCAGCAGUGGGGAAUAUUGGACAAUGGGGGCAACCCUGAUCCAGCAAUUCUGUGUGCACGAAGAAGGUUUUCGGAUUGUAAAGUGCUUUCAGCAGGGAAGAAGAAAGUGACGGUACCUGCAGAAGAAGCGACGGCUAAAUACGUG